rnacentral:rRNA from 1 species
GACGGAGGGCGCAGGUGUUAUUCGUUUUGAUUGGGUGUAAAGGGUACGUAGGCGGUUCCUAGUCUUUUUGGCCUAAAGCGCAGAGUAUUCCUAUGCGAAGGGCCUUCUAAGAAGGGGACUUGAGUUACUGAGAGGUUGGGGUAAAUUUUCAUGAAGGGGUAAAAUCCUACCAUAUGAGAAUGAACGCUAGCAGGCGGAGGCGCCUUUCCCGCUUUAACUGACGCUAAGGUACGGAAGCUUCGGUAGCAAACGGG